AAUUAAUACAGCAAAAUCACUGCAGUCGUUUUGCAUACUGUGGUGGGAGAUUUUUGACAAAUAUCUUUCACCCUCAAUUCAUUUCAAAAUUUCUUCCCGGCUGUGUGACAUUUUUGCCUAAUUAGAUACCUUCUUCUUAACAUAAGCCUAACCCAAUGAAGUUUUCUCCGUGAUGCAAAGUUUUAAAGUUUCAUGGUCACCUUUGCAACCUAAUUAGUAAACAUUUAACCUACUGUCAUCAUAACCACUGCUCACAAUUCUUUCCAUUCAGGCAGCAGCAGGACUCCCGAGUCAAACUGUUGCAGUCAGUGUUUUAGUUUCCUGAAUAUCAGCCCCUCGUAGUAAGCCAAAUGCCACACAAAUACAAACACGAGGAAUAAAUCGGCACACUGCCCAUUAUCCAGGAGACAAACGGAUCCACUGCUAUUUUAAAUUCACCAAGUAGGCUAUUAGUUGCCACAGAUUCCCAUAUAUGUAGGUGAAUUCCUUGAUGCAGAAUCAGGUUUAAUGAAUCAUUCUACAGCAUCAGCCUCAGCCUUUUAAAAUCCUUUAUUUUCUCCUUUUCCACAUUAAAAACACAUUUGAGAUAUACACAGAAAAUGUUUCUCUAAAAAAACGCACACAUACACACAAAACAGGAGGUCUCUUAAGGAGUCUACUGCUGAGAAGGUAAAAGCAUUUUGCUCAUUUUUAAUUUGCUAAAACAAUCCAAGCAUGCUUGGUACCCAGAGGGUAUUCUCAAAUAAACUUGUAUCUCUAGCUGCCAGCUUAGUUGAUUGAAAACAGAAGGCAAACGUUUCUUAAAGAAUAUGUUAAACUGUUAUGUCUCCCAGUACCACUCAGGAUACACACACACACACACAGACACACACACGCACACAUACCGCAUAGUCAAGGAUUUGCUUGAAAGCAGCCAGUUCUAUUAUCUAAAAGGUAAUACAUUUGUACCAAAUUACUCCUGCCUACUGCGGUGCACCUUUUAGCGAAGAAGCCAGUGCCACUGGGAUCCUGGACAGUUCUGGUGUGCCAUUCUCCACGUACAAAGCCAACGGCCCCAUUUGCGACUUUGCUAACUUAGUUGGCUUCCGCCCAGCCGAACCCCGAAGCACAGUCACUGAAAACGUUUUGAUACCAGAAAAUCAUUUCCACGACAGUGCAAGUGUUCGAAAGCACAAAGGCAGACUGUCUACCCGCGACAGUUCGCAAGUUGCGGUGGCGGGGCGGCUGUGCGGAGCGCGCGUGCAGACUUUUUGUAGAAACUCUGCAGGUCAGAAGAUUUUUGUAUGGAAUGAUCUUCUCCAAUCAAUUAUUUGAAUCUAAGGUGUGCUCAAGAGGAGAAUCAGUUUCCCAUUCAACCACUUAGGAUUCUUUCUCUCUGCGUCCUAAAUUUGGCUUUGAGACCUUGGAUGAUGAUUCUCCUAAUCUGGUCAAUGGACCACCUGCAAGAAUCACCCAGGACUGGAGCCCAGGAAUCUGCUCAGUAACGUGACUGGGGUGCAUAGGAAGAGAAGAUCAUCAGUGGCAAAUGGCAGUCACAGGAAAGCAACACCCACAGCCGGUUUCACACGUGUGGAGAGCACCC
rnacentral:lncRNA from 1 species